UACGGAGGGUGCAAGCGUUAUCCGGAAUUAUUGGGCGUAAAGAGCUCGUAGGCGGUUUGUCGCGUCUGCCGUGAAAGUCCGGGGCUCAACUCCGGAUCUGCGGUGGGUACGGGCAGACUAGAGUGAUGUAGGGGAGACUGGAAUUCCUGGUGUAGCGGUGAAAUGCGCAGAUAUCAGGAGGAACACCGAUGGCGAAGGCAGGUCUCUGGGCAUUAACUGACGCUGAGGAGCGAAAGCAUGGGGAGCGAACAGG
rnacentral:rRNA from 1 species